GACAACUCUCAGCAACGGAUAUCUCGGCUCUUGCAUCGAUGAAGAACGCAGCGAAAUGCGAUAAAUGGUGUGAAUUGCAGAAUCCCGUGAACCAUCGAGUCUUUGAACGCAAGUUGCGCCCGAGGCCAUCAGGCCAAGGGCACGCCUGCUUGGGCAUUGCGA
rnacentral:rRNA from 1 species